rnacentral:rRNA from 1 species
AUUGAACGCUGGCGGCAGGCCUAACACAUGCAAGUCGAACGAGUGGCGGACAUGUGAGUAAUGUAUGGGAAUCUGCCAGUUAGAGGGGGAUAAAUAAUGGAUACGGUAGCUAAUACCGCAUAAUAUAGGAUGAGCCCAUAUGGGAUUAGCUAGUAGGUGGGGUAAAGGCUCACAUAGGAGAGGAUCUCUAGCUAGUCUGAGAGGAUGAUCGGUCACACUGGAACUGAGACACGACCCAGACUUCUACGGUAGUCCUCAGUGGGACAUAUUGCACAAUGGGCGCAAGCAUGAUGCAGCCAUGCCGCGUGUAUGAAGAAGGCUUUAGGGUUGUAAAGUACUUUCAGCGGGGAGGCGGUACCCGCAGAAGAAGCACCGGCUAACUCCGUGCCAGCAGCCGCGGUAAUUC